rnacentral:rRNA from 2 species
GCAGUCGAGCGGACAGAUGGGAGCUUGCUCCCUGAUGUUAGCGGCGGACGGGUGAGUAACACGUGGGUAACCUGCCUGUAAGACUGGGAUAACUCCGGGAAACCGGGGCUAAUACCGGAUGGUUGUUUGAACCGCAUGGUUCAGACAUAAAAGGUGGCUUCGGCUACCACUUACAGAUGGACCCGCGGCGCAUUAGCUAGUUGGUGAGGUAACGGCUCACCAAGGCGACGAUGCGUAGCCGACCUGAGAGGGUGAUCGGCCACACUGGGACUGAGACACGGCCCAGACUCCUACGGGAGGCAGCAGUAGGGAAUCUUCCGCAAUGGACGAAAGUCUGACGGAGCAACGCCGCGUGAGUGAUGAAGGUUUUCGGAUCGUAAAGCUCUGUUGUUAGGGAAGAACAAGUGCCGUUCAAAUAGGGCGGCACCUUGACGGUACCUAACCAGAAAGCCACGGCUAACUACGUGCCAGCAGCCGCGGUAAUACGUAGGUGGCAAGCGUUGUCCGGAAUUAUUGGGCGUAAAGGGCUCGCAGGCGGUUUCUUAAGUCUGAUGUGAAAGCCCCCGGCUCAACCGGGGAGGGUCAUUGGAAACUGGGGAACUU